CCAGGUCUAUCUCUUCGUUAUCAUCCUCUAUGACUAGAGCUAGAAACUCUCCAUUGAUGGUGAACCUUAGAGUAAGGAAAGAAAAAUAGGAUAGCUUUACCGGUGGUUGUAAGAUAAUAUUCGUUGGAUGUUGCAAGAAAAGGAAGGAGAAAGAAAAAAGAGUGCCAAAUCUAACCCUUUCUGUCAUCAUCCAUGGCUCGAGCUCGAAGCACACCAAUAAUGACGGAACUUCAAGUAAUGAAAAGGAAAUCAAAAUUGAAAGACUGUAGAAACUGAAAGCUAAAAAUUUGAAGAAGAAAA
rnacentral:lncRNA from 1 species